UACGAAGGAUGCAAGCGUUAUCCGGAUUUAUUGGGUUUAAAGGGUGCGUAGGCGGGCUUAUAAGUCAGUGGUGAAAUCUCGAUGCUUAACAUCGAACGUGCCAUUGAUACUGUAGGUCUUGAGUACAGAUGCCGUUGGCGGAAUGUGUCAUGUAGCGGUGAGAUGCAUAGAUAUGACACAGAACACCGAUUGCGAAGGCAGCUGACGAAACUGUAACUGACGCUGAGGCACGAAAGCGUGGGGAUCAAACAGG
rnacentral:rRNA from 1 species